rnacentral:misc_RNA from 1 species
GUGAAUCAUCGAAUCUUUGAACGCACAUUGCGCCCGCCAGUAUUCUGGCGGGCAUGCCUGUUCGAGCGUCAUUUCAACCCUCAAGCACAGCUUGGUGUUGGGACUCGCGUUAAUUCGCGUUCCUCAAAUUGAUUGGCGGUCACGUCGAGCUUCCAUAGCGUAGUAGUAAAACCCUCGUUACUGGUAAUCGUCGCGGCCACGCCGUUAAACCCCAACUUCUGAAUGUUGACCUCGGAUCAGGUAGGAAUACCCGCUGAACUUAAGCAUAUCAAUAAGCGGAGGA